UACGAAGGGGGGCUAGCGUUGCUCGGAAUUACUGGGCGUAAAGGGCGCGUAGGCGGCACUGUUAGUCAGGCGUGAAAGUCCUGGGCUCAACCUGGGAACUGCGCUUGAUACGGCAGAGCUAGAGGAUGGAAGAGGCUCGCGGAAUUCCCAGUGUAGAGGUGAAAUUCGUAGAUAUUGGGAAGAACACCGGUGGCGAAGGCGGCGAGCUGGUCCAUUACUGACGGCUGAGGCGCGACAGCGUGGGGAGCAAACAGG
rnacentral:rRNA from 1 species